CAAUGAAGAUGCCGUUGUACACUGUCUGAAGUAUGUUUAUUGCAUGUCUAGAGGCAAUUAGGCGCCUUUCUUAAUUCUGACCAUAGGUUGCUUAAAAUUGUCGCAUUCUUCCAGUUUGACACACUCGUUGUCUCUAUCUCUUCGUAGGUAAUUAUCUUUGCAGAAGCACUUGCUCACGGAGUCCAGAGUGCAAGCAAUAGUCUUUCCGUUAGGAUAGUGUGGCAGAUAGCGACAGUUCGCCUCCCCGCAAGAACCACUUUGACCUUCCUUCCAUGUUUCACGAUGAGUGCAGUUGUGAGAACCAGGAGUCGGUACAGGCGGCCUAAAAUUGUCGCAUUCUUCCAGCUUCACGCACUUGUUGUCUCUAUCUCUUCGUAGGUAAUUAUCUUUGCAGAAGCACUUGCUCACGGAGUCCAGAGUGCAAG